UCCGGCUUACCACCGGCAGUCUCAUUAGAGUUCCCGCCUUUACGCGCUGGCAACUAAUGAUAAGGGUUGCGCUCGUUGCUGGACUUAACCAAACACCUCACGGCACGAGCUGACGACAGCCAUGCAGCACCUAUAUAGAGACCCUUUCGGGAAAUGCCAUCUCUGACAUCGUCCUCUACAUUUCGAGCCCAGGUAAGGUUCUUCGCGUUGCAUCGAAUUAAACCACAUGCUCCACUGCUUGUGCGGGCCCCCGUCAAUUCUUUUGAGUUUCACCCUUGCGAGCGUACUCCCCAGGCGGCAUACUUAAUGCGUUAGCUCCGAUACAGAAAGGGUUGAGCCUCUCUACAUCUAGUAUGCAUCGUUUACGGCAAGGACUAC
rnacentral:misc_RNA from 1 species